AUUUUAAUAUUACAUAAAAUUUUAUAGUUUUAAUGAUAUUUUUAUUGUUUUUAAUUUUAAAAAGUUUUGUCAAUCUUGUAUUGUCAAAUAGGAACGAUCACACACAAUAGAAAGAUCAAAAGCAUGGCAAUAAUGGAAAAAUUGACCAUGGUGGUUAAUUUUUAGGUGAACAAAUAAUGUUUAAACGACACUUGCUCAAAUCUGAAAUCAGGAAUAAAUUGGCAGCACAAAUUUUUUAAAUGUUAAUUGGUGUUUGUGGCGUGUGUAGUAUGAGGUAUGUUUGUGACUGUGUGUAGAAGUUUUAUUUCUGUCAUAAAAAAACUAAAAUUUUUUUAGGUUUGCAACAGUAAUUAAAAAAAAGUUAAAUAUCUCGCAUAACAUCAUACAAAAAAUGCAGACCAUGUCUUUACUAAAAAGGGAUUUGCAAGUAAAAAAUUGCAAAGAAAAAAAAAAGAUCUUUUAAAUAUUACAAAUAAAAUAUCACAAAUAAAACAAGCAAGUAGAACUUAUUAAAUAAGAAGAAACUGGUAACAAAUUAAGAAAAAAACUGGUAACAAUUAAAUCAAGAAGAUACUAAUAACUUUUAAAUCAAGAAGGGACUGCUUACAAUGUUAACUGCAGCAAAGGAUGAAGAAAAAUACUAUUCAUUCAUUUAGGGUAUUUGCCUGAAUUCAUUUUAAAUACAUAGGCAACCAAUGGUCAGAGUUGGGGUCAAAUAUAUAUUUGGUAGUUAUGGGCUAAAUUGGCGUAAUUGUAUUUGCAUUGUAUUUGGUUAAAAAAUAUCUUAAAUAUUUGUAUUUUUUAUUACUUUUUAAUUUAUUUUAAUUCACCUCCUCAAGGUCAUGAAAGCCACUAAAGCAUAGUGGGCCAAGUAGUGGACAAAAUU